AAGAAAGUGACAGAGGGGUUAUGUGGCUGGCUUGAAACCAGCAUAUGGGGGUUCAACUCCCCCCUUUCUCG
rnacentral:tRNA from 1 species